UGAUUGCGUAGCUCAAUUGGUAGAGCAGCCGGCUUUUAACCAGCAUGUUCUGGGUUCGAGUCCCAGCGCAAUCAU
rnacentral:tRNA from 1 species